rnacentral:rRNA from 1 species
AAUCAACGCUGGCGGCGUGCCUCAGACAUGCAAGUCGAACGAUUAAACUUUCCUUCGGGAAAGAUAUAAAGUGGCGCACGGGUGAGUAACACGUAAGUAAUCUACCUUCGAGUGGGGAAUAACAUCGGGAAACCGAUGCUAAUACCGCAUAAUGCAGCGGCAUCGAAAGAUGACAGUUGUUAAAGGAGCAAUUCGCUUGAAGAGGAGCUUGCGGCAGAUUAGCUAGUUGGUAAGGUAAUGGCUUACCAAGGCUACGAUCUGUAUCCGGUCUAAGAGGACGGUCGGACACACUGACACUGAAUAACGGGUCAGACUCCUACGAGAGGCAGCAGUCGGGAAUUUUGGGCAAUGGGCGAAAGCCUGACCCAGCAACGCCGCGUGAAGGAUGAAGUAUUUCGGUAUGUAAACUUCGAAAGAAUGGGAAGAACUCAAUGACGGUACCAUUUAUAAGCUCCGGCUAACAACGUGCCAGCCGCCGCGGUAAUAC